AGCGGGAUAGAGCAGGGGUAGCUCACUUGGCUCAUAACCAAGAGGUCGGGUGUUCGAGUCACUCUCCCGCAA
rnacentral:tRNA from 1 species